rnacentral:tRNA from 1 species
GUUCUGGGUAGCCUAGAGGACAUGACAUCUGCCCGGUAAGCGGAACACGGUGGGUUCGAUUCCCAUCCCUGGACA